rnacentral:lncRNA from 1 species
UGUAUGGCCUAUGGACACAGCACCACUUCUAGUUUUGGCCAAGACACACUCCAGACUGGAGAAACAUGGAUGACCAUCUGGAAAACAAAAUAAGAUCACAGCAACUGAGGCUUGAAGUCCCAAAGAGUGCAGACUACAGCAGAAGUAAAGGUGAAAGUCUUCCCAGAGAUCACAUGAAGGAAAACCUGGCAGACAACAGCCGCAGUGUCACCACCAAGGAAGCUGUGGGGUGAUCAGGGCUCUCCUCCAUGGCUUCUCCUUAUUUCAGGGCUUAUAAUAUGAACAUUCACGUCAUCAGUCAUGCAUUAUGGGGACAGAAGAAGCAAAUUUUUUGCUUGAAGCUGACAUUCAAACUUGCUGAAGAUAAAGCAGACCUCUGGCUGGACAUGAGAGACCCAGAACAAAAGAGAAGUGCCAGCCUCCGCAAGCGAUGAUUUCCUGAGCUGUGCCAAAUUGAGUCUGCCAUGUACUAAAGGGCCUGAUAAAAGGUUUUGGGGGACCCUGACAAAUAAUAACCAAUCUAAGAGUGCACAGAUUUAAGUUUCCACUGCCUAUUCUUAAUCUAAGGAAGUGAGACUCGAUCAUCUUUGCAUUCCAUUUUUUAAAUCCUGUUUUGGGUUCUAUGAAACUCAAUAUUUAGCCUAAGAACAGUUCGUUUGGGAAAGAAAAAAAAAAAAAAAAAAAAAGUAAUUCCUGAAAAUUCACUAAUAUAUUCACUUAACUGAACAUCUGAGAGCAACUGCUAAAUAUAGUAUGUGCUGUAGUUGUACUUCAUGGCAUCUUCUACAUUUAAAUAAAAGCAGGUUUAAAUAAAGAUUUGAUGUCA